AUGCCUGCCCCGCCCGACCAGCCCGCAGCCACUGGCGCUGGGGAUGCCUCGACUGAUCCUACUGCCGCCGCUGUCUGCGACGACGUGCACGACUCCAAGGAGGUCGUCCUGCGGCGGUACUUCCUUCAGGAAUGGGAGCUGGUCUCCGCCAUCCUCCGCCGCAUCUUCGCCGCUGGCGGCGUCGCGGAGCCCGCCGACGUCCACAGGAUCCGCUCCAUCAUGGACAAAUAUCAAGAAGAAGGUCAACUUCUCGAGCCAUACCUAGAAGACAUCAUCUCACCACUUAUGUCGUUGGUUCGAUCAAAGAUAAUGGAACUUGGUGCUGCCACAGAUGAGCUCCUUGAAAUCAUCAAGCCUCUGUGUAUUAUCAUCUACACCCUGGUCACAGUCUGUGGGUAUAAGAGCGUCAUCAAGUUCUUCCCUCAUCAGGUUUCAGAUCUAGAGCUUGCGGUUGCUCUCCUUGAGAAGUGCCAUACAAUGAGCUCAGCGACAGCUCUUAGGCAAGAGAGCACAGGAGAAAUGGAGACCAAGUGUGUCGUUCUGUUGUGGCUUUAUAUACUGAUCUUAAUUCCAUUUGAUAUCUCCUCCGUUGACACGAGCAUUGCUGCCACUGAUCAUGUGCCCGGGUCUGAGGUUGUUCCGCUUGUGACAAGGAUCUUGGACAUCUGUAAGGAUUAUCUCUCCAACUCUGGUCCAAUGAGAAGGAUGUCAGGGUUGCUGCUUGCAAGGCUGUUGACUCGUCCAGACAUGCUGAAGGCCUUCAGCAGUUUUAUGGAAUGGGCGCACAAAAUCUUGUUGUCUGUCACAGAUGACUUUGUGGAUCAAUUUAGGUCCAUUGGCAUAGUGGAAGCUUUAGCAUCAAUAUUUAAGAUUGGUAACAGGAGAGUGCUACAUGAUGCCAAUUCUGGUAUUUGGAACGACUGUUCAUUUGUGAUGAAGACUAAUAUUGCCAUCAGAAGUCCCCUCCUUAGGAAAUUUCUGGUCAAACUGGCACAGCGAGUUGCUCUCAUUAGCUUGGCUCCCCGUACGCCAUCAUGGCGCUAUCAGUCAAUAAGUAGUUCACUGGGUGCAAACCUUUUAAGUUCUACUGCUGCGUCUUCAAAUGGAUCAACCCAACAAGUGAACAUUGAUCAAACAGACACAUGUGGGUUGGAAGAAGAUAUGGAUGUUCCAGAAAUUGUGGAAGAGAUAAUCGACUUACUAUUGACUGGCUUGAGGGAUUCGGAUACUAUUGUGAGAUGGUCUGCUGCCAAAGGUGUCGGCAGAAUAACUGCACGUUUAACACCUGCACUGUCUGAAGAAGUUCUAUCAUCAAUCUUGCAGCUUUUUUCUCCUGGUGAGGGGGAUGGUUCCUGGCAUGGAGGCUGCUUGGCUUUGGCUGAACUUGCUCGGAGGGGGCUGUUGCUGCCUUCUAGCUUUCCUGAUGUUAUUCCCGUUAUAACGAAGGCUUUACACUAUGAUGUGCGUAGAGGUCCACAUAGCAUUGGUUCACACGUAAGAGAUGCCGCAGCAUACGUUUGUUGGGCGUUUGGUCGUGCCUAUACUAACUUAGAUAUGAAGGUGGUCUUGGAACAACUUGCUCCCCACCUUCUAACGGUUGCUUGUUAUGAUCGAGAGGUUAAUUGUAGAAGAGCUGCUUCUGCUGCCUUUCAAGAGAAUGUUGGAAGACAGGGAACUUAUCCGCAUGGCAUUGAUAUUGUGAAUACAACAGACUACUUUGCACUAGCUUCACGAUCAAACUCUUAUCUGAGUGUCGCCGUUUCUGUUGCUCAGUAUAAGGAGUAUGUUUACCCCUUUGCAGAAGAGCUGCUGUGCAAUAAAAUAACUCACUGGGAGAAAAGCUUGAGAGAGUUGGCGGCGCAGGCCCUUGCUUUGCUUGUGCAAUAUGAUAUGGAUUACUUCUCUGAGCAUGCCCUUAAAAAGUUAAUUCCCUGCACUCUAUCAUCAGAUCUCUGCACUCGACAUGGGGCCACUUUAGCUGCUGGCGAAAUUGCUUUGAAGUUGCAUCAGCUUGGUUUCAUUUUUACCACAGACAUGCAGAGAGGUUUGUCAGGCAUUGUCCCUGCAAUUGAAAAGGCACGCCUUUAUCGAGGUAAAGGAGGAGAGAUUAUGCGCUCUGCUGUUUCUCGAUUCAUUGCAUGUAUUUCCAUGGCUGCAAUAUCCUUGAAUGAGAAGACAAAGAGAAGUUUAGUUGAAACCCUUAACGAGAAUUUGAAGCAUCCCAAUUCUCAAAUACAGUGUGCCGCUGUUGACGCUUUGAAGCAUUUUAUUCCAACAUAUCUGGUUUCUGCUGGUGAAAAGAUUGCUAAUGAUGUCAUUUCGAAGUAUGUGACGCUUCUAGAUGACCCGAAUGUAGCUGCAAGACGAGGCGGGGCGCUGGCCCUUGGAAUAUUACCGUACGAGUUCUUGUUACUAAAAUGGAUGCCUGUCAUGAGUAAGCUCUGUAGCUCAUGCACAAUAGAGGAUAAGGCUGAUGAUCCUGACGCUGAAGCACGUGUGAAUUCUGUUAGGGGGCUAAUUCUGGUUUGCGAAACAUUAACAUCUAAUGUUGAUCAGAGCUCAGAUAUUGGAGAAUCUGUAUAUGCAUACAUAAAAGUUGAGGUCAUGCCAGCUUUAUUCAGAGCACUUGAUGAUUAUGCUGUAGAUAACAGAGGAGAUGUGGGUUCUUGGGUACGUGAAGCAGCAAUGGAUGCGCUAGAAAGAUGCACGUUCAUCCUCUGCAAGAGAGAUGCUGUUGCAGUGAGAGCAGCGCCAGCUGCUGAGGAUGAGUCUGAGCCAAGCGACAUGGAUGCAAAUGCAAUUAGUACCACAUGCCAACUAUUUGAUUCUGCUAUUGCACAGGGUCUGGUCGCUGGCAUUGCAAAGCAGGCAGUUGAGAAAAUAGAUAAGAUAAGAGAAAUAGCAGUCAGGACUCUGCAGAGGAUUCUGUACAACCAAGAACAGUUUGUCCCGUCUAUACCUUACAGGAAGCUGUUGGAAGAAAUUAUUCCUAAUAAUUCUGAUUUGGAGUGGGCAGUUCCUACGGUAUCAUAUCCACGAUUGGUGAAGAUUCUUCAGGCUAGCUGUUACAGCAAGCCUGUGCUUUCAGGGCUUGUGAUUUCUACCGGUGGGUUGCAGGAGUCUUUGAGGAAAGCUUCAACAUCAGCUUUAGUAGGAUACUUGCAAGAUUCAAGUAUUAAUAUAGAUGAUAAAGGGAAAAGUAGAGAGUAUCUAUUGAGUCAUGACAUUUUGUGGGUUCUCCAGCGUUACCAGAAGUGCGACCGUGUAAUUACACCCACAUUGAAGACUAUCGAGACUCUGCUCAGUAAACAGGUCUUCUUGAACAAGGAGGGGCACGGCGACUUCUACAGUGAAUUGGUAAAUUUACUAGGCCCUGAACUGAAGGGAUCAAAGGACUUCACGAAGUUAUGUGCGGGCCUCUCAAUCCUAGGAUAUAUUUCUUCACAAUUGGAUGGGACUGGCACCAAGGCGUUCUCUCAACUUCUAGUGUUCCUAGGCCAUAGAUACCCCAAGAUCCGGAAGGCUGCGGCUGAUCAGGUGUACCUUGUGCUGCUGCAAAAUGACAGUCUGAUCUCGGCGGAAGAUAUGGAUAAAGCCCAGGAAGUGCUCGCGGAGACAUGCUGGGAAGGAGACGUCGAGGAAGCGAGGCACAAGAGGUCGGAACUGAAUGCGAUGGCUGGUUUUGGCGUCGCCACCUCGCAGAAGUCUGAGAAUCGACAGGGAGCAAGAGCUCCCGAUGUUCGAAAUGCUGCUUCAACUGAUGAGAACACGUCGUAUUCCUCACUGGUUGAAUUCAGUGGGUACUAG
rnacentral:rRNA from 1 species